rnacentral:rRNA from 1 species
AUUGAACGCUGGCGGCAGGCCUAACACAUGCAAGUCGAGCGAGCGGCGGACGGGUGAGUAAUGUAUGGGGAUCUGCCCGAUAGAGGGGUAUAACUACUGGAAACGGUGGCUAAUACCGCAUACUAACGGAUGACCCCAUAUGGGAUUAUCUAGUAGGUGGGGUAAAGGCUCACCUAGUCGACGAUCUCUAGCUGGUCUGAGAGGAUGAUCAGCCACACUGGGACUGAGACACGGCCCAGAAGCCUACGGGAGGCAGCAGUGGGGAAGAUUGCACAAUGGGAGCAAGACUGAUGCAGCCAGGCCGCGUGUAUGAAGAAGGCCUUAGGGUUGUAAAGUACUUUCAGCGGGGAGGCGUUACCCGCAGAAGAAGCACCGGCUAACUCCGUGCCAGCAGCCGCGGUAAUAC